rnacentral:rRNA from 1 species
CCUACGGGAGGCAGCAGUAGGGAAUCUUCGGCAAUGGGGGCAACCCUGACCGAGCAACGCCGCGUGAGUGAAGAAGGUUUUCGGAUCGUAAAGCUCUGUUGUAAGUCAAGAACGGGUGUGAGAGUGGAAAGUUCACACUGUGACGGUAGCUUACCAGAAAGGGACGGCUAACUACGUGCCAGCAGCCGCGGUAAUACGUAGGUCCCGAGCGUUGUCCGGAUUUAUUGGGCGUAAAGCGAGCGCAGGCGGUUUGAUAAGUCUGAAGUUAAAGGCUGUGGCUCAACCAUAGUUCGCUUUGGAAACUGUCAAACUUGAGUGCAGAAGGGGAGAGUGGAAUUCCAUGUGUAGCGGUGAAAUGCGUAGAUAUAUGGAGGAACACCGGUGGCGAAAGCGGCUCUCUGGUCUGUAACUGACGCUGAGGCUCGAAAGCGUGGGGAGCGAACAGGAUUAGAUACCCCAGUAGUC